UACGAAGGGUGCAAGCGUUACUCGGAAUUACUGGGCGUAAAGCGUGCGCAGGCGGUUCGUUGUGUCGGUGGUGAAAUCCCCGGGCUUAACCUGGGAAUGGCCAUGGAAACUGGCGAACUGGAGUGUGGCAGAGGGGGGUGGAAUUCCGCGUGUAGCAGUGAAAUGCGUAGAGAUGCGGAGGAACACCGAUGGCGAAGGCAGCCCCCUGGGCUAGCACUGACGCUCAGGCACGAAAGCGUGGGGAGCAAACAGG
rnacentral:rRNA from 1 species